rnacentral:rRNA from 1 species
GAUGAACGCUAGCGGCAGGCUUAACACAUGCAAGUCGAGGGGCAUCACAGUGUAGCAAUACACGGGUGGCGACCGGCGCACGGGUGCGUAACACGUAUCCAAUCUGCCCGUUACUCGGGGAUAGCCUUCUGAAAGGAAGAUUAAUACCCGAUGGCAUGUAUUUCCGGCAUCGGAGAUACAUUAAAGAUUUAUCGGUAACGGAUGAGGAUGCGUACGAUUAGCUGGUUGGCGGGUAACGGCCCACCAAGGCUACGAUCGUUAGGGGUUCUGAGAGGAAGGUCCCCCACACUGGAACUGAGACACGGUCCAGACUCCUACGGGAGGCAGCAGUGAGGAAUAUUGGUCAAUGGUCGAGAGACUGAACCAGCCAAGUAGCGUGAAGGAUGACUGCCCUACGGGUUGUAAACUUCUUUUGUUUGGGAAUAAAUGAUACUACGUGUAGUAUUUUGCAUGUACCUUACGAAUAAGCAUCGGCUAAUUCCGUG